CUGCUUCCUCCUCUAUGGUUCUCCUCAUUGUAGAAGUUAAAGGACAUGUUUUAGGAUGUCAAUUCACCAGCAGUCUUACACGUCUGUGUUUUCUAUUAUAGUUGUCUUGUUAACAAUUAGCAUGAUUUCUCACUAGUGUUUGUAAGUUGCUCUGGUGGUUAUUACAAUAUGAUUUAAAUUCUGGGAACACUAUUCCUCUUUUUCAUUUUACAUGAGCAGUUUGGCGCUUGAUAUCAUUCAAAGUUGGUCUAGCUGUCUGUUUUAGGAUGUCCUAUGUUGGCUAAACUUGGUCCUUCCAUUCCGUGUAGGGAUGGCAAUGGGGCGGGGCG
rnacentral:lncRNA from 1 species